GAAUGCUGACAUAAGUAACGAUAAAGCGGGUGAAAAGCCCGCUCGCCGGAAGACCAAGGGUUCCUGUCCAACGUUAAUCGGGGCAGGGUGAGUCGACCCCUAAGGCGAGGCCGAAAGGCGUAGUCGAUGGGAAACAGGUUAAUAUUCCUGUACUUGGUGUUACUGCGAAGGGGGGACGGAGAAGGCUAUGUUAGCCGGGCGACGGUUGUCCCGGUUUAAGCAUGUAGGCUGAUUGUCCAGGCAAAUCCGGAUAAUCAAGGCUGAGGUGUGAUGACGAGGCACUACGGUGCUGAAGUAACAAAUGCCCUGCUUCCAGGAAAAGCCUCUAAGCAUCAGGUAACAUCAAAUCGUACCCCAAACCGACACAGGUGGUCAGGUAGAGAAUACCAAGGCGCUUGAGAGAACUCGGGUGAAGGAACUAGGCAAAAUGGUGCCGUAACUUCGGGAGAAGGCACGCUGGUGUGUAGGUGAAGUCCCUGCGGAUGGAGCUGAGACCAGUCGAAGAUACCAGCUGGCUGCAACUGUUUAUUAAAAACACAGCACUGUGCAAACACGAAAGUGGACGUAUACGGUGUGACGCCUGCCCGGUGCCGGAAGGUUAAUUGAUGGGGUUAUCCGUAAGGAGAAGCUCUUGAUCGAAGCCCCGGUAAACGGCGGCCGUAACUAUAACGGUCCUAAGGUAGCGAAAUUCCUUGUCGGGUAAGUUCCGACCUGCACGAAUGGCGUAAUGAUGGCCAGGCUGUCUCCACCCGAGACUCAGUGAAAUUGAACUCGCUGUGAAGAUGCAGUGUACCCGCGGCAAGACGGAAAGACCCCGUGAACCUUUACUAUAGCUUGACACUGAACAUUGAGCCUUGAUGUGUAGGAUAGGUGGGAGGCUUUGAAGCGUGGACGCCAGUCUGCGUGGAGCCAACCUUGAAAUACCACCCUUUAAUGUUUGAUGUUCUAACGUUGGCCCCUGACCGGGGUUGCGGACAGUGUCUGGUGGGUAGUUUGACUGGGGCGGUCUCCUCCCAAAGCGUAACGGAGGAGCACGAAGGUUAGCUAAUCCUGGUCGGACAUCAGGAGGUUAGUGCAAUGGCAUAAGCUAGCUUGACUGCGAGCGUGACGGCGCGAGCAGGUGCGAAAGCAGGUCAUAGUGAUCCGGUGGUUCUGAAUGGAAGGGCCAUCGCUCAACGGAUAAAAGGUACUCCGGGGAUAACAGGCUGAUACCGCCCAAGAGUUCAUAUCGACGGCGGUGUUUGGCACCUCGAUGUCGGCUCAUCACAUCCUGGGGCUGAAGUAGGUCCCAAGGGUAUGGCUGUUCGCCAUUUAAAGUGGUACGCGAGCUGGGUUUAGAACGUCGUGAGACAGUUCGGUCCCUAUCUGCCGUGGGCGCUGGAGAAUUGAGGGGGGCUGCUCCUAGUACGAGAGGACCGGAGUGGACGCAUCACUGGUGUUCGGGUUGUCAUGCCAAUGGCACUGCCCGGUAGCUAAAUGCGGAAGAGAUAAGUGCUGAAAGCAUCUAAGCACGAAACUUGCCCCGAGAUGAGUUCUCCCUGAGACUUUAAGUCUCCUGAAGGAACGUUAAAGACGAUGACGUUGAUAGGCCGGGUGUGUAAGCGCAGCGAUGCGUUGAGCUAACCGGUACUAAUGAACCGUGAGGCUUAACCUU
rnacentral:rRNA from 2 species